rnacentral:lncRNA from 1 species
CUACAAACGAACAAACUUGUAUGAUUGCUGGGAGAGGUGAAUUAACCUCAGAUUGUUCUGGUUCACUUCACAGGUGGUUGCUGAGAGCGCAUCGCCCGGAAACUGAUAAGCCGGAAGGCUACAGAAGUUUCAAGGAAGUAAGUCCGAAGUCUUGCAAAGAAGGCGGCUAUCAGGCCUGGAUCUCUCCUCGUGGCAGCUGUAGGAAACACAGGAACUCCGUGACCUGGAAAAUGUGGGACAACUGCCACAAGGUGACCCUGGAAGGCUGGGGUUGAUUGCCUGCUUGGAUCACCCCGCCUUUCCUCCACUGCCCUGCACACCAUCAGAAGAUACAAGCUGCACGGGGCCAGACUCUUUCUUUGGUUCAUUGACAUAACUCCAGUACUUACCUGGACCACUGCCUGAUGACAUGUGGUAAGUGCUCAAUAAAUAUUUGUUGAAUGGAUAAAGGCAGGAAGGUGGGCAGAAACAUUGUCUCGGUCAGAUAUGGGAUGAAAAUACCAGGCAAUCAGCAGUCACUAGAUUCUGGGAGGAGGAGAACAGGAGGGAGACAGGGUUUUCUAAGACAAAGCCACCCACCCCUCCACUAUGCAUUAGGCCUGACCCUGCUUUUAAGUGAAUGAGCAUUAAUGGAGAAAGAUUCUAAUUUACUCCAAAAUAAUUUAUAUACUAGAUAGGCUUAUGGACAUGGCCAUGCUUCUGACAAAU